rnacentral:rRNA from 1 species
AAUGGGCGUAAGCCUGAACCAGCCAUCCCGCGUGCAGGAAGAAGGCGCUAUGCGUUGUAAACUGCUUUUCCAGGGGAAGAAAACCUGAUACGUGUAUCGGCUUGCCGGUACCCUGGGAAUAAGCAUCGGCUAACUCCGUGCCAGCAGCCGCGGUAAUACGGAGGAUGCAAGCGUUAUCCGGAUUUAUUGGGUUUAAAGGGUGCGUAGGCGGAUUAAUAAGUCAGUGGUGAAAACCUGCAGCUUAACUGUAGAACUGCCAUUGAUACUGUUAGUCUUGAGUACGGUCAAGGUAGGCGGAAUGUGUAAUGUAGCGGUGAAAUGCUUAGAUAUUACACAGAACACCGAUUGCGAAGGCAGCUUACUGGGCCAUUACUGACGCUGAUGCACGAAAGCGUGGGGAGCGAA